GGGGGGGGGGGUUGUGUUGCUUUCGUUUUUGGAUGCGUUGUCAAAUAUUAGCACAGACAUUUAUUCCUUGGUUACUGAAGCUAAUGACAAAUGACCUCUAUCAGUUAGCCGCUGUUGCGUUCUGUCUACUCCUAGCCUGGAUUAGUGAUAAGCUAUGGUUAAGUCUAGAACUAUGUUCUUUUGCCGCAGGGGUCAUGAUAUCAACUAGGGAUCUCGAUAAACAUACAUUGGGCAAGUAAGUUGUGAUCAUGUAUUACCAAAAAGACUGCUUUCAUCUACUUGUCUCUUUUUUUCAUCUCCCAGAACUGUUUUCUGUGUCUUCGCUGAUUUAAUUUGAUCAUAGUCGAGGUUCUCAUUGCAGGGUGAGUUAUGUCUAGGCUAGAAAGUAAUCUGUUGACAAGUAUGUAAUGUUAAACCCUUAAAGAGUCCAUAGACUGACCCAUGUGCUUUAUAUUUUGAUUCAGAUCGAACCAUCCUAAUAUGUUGUAUUAAACAUUAUCGCAGACUUUUCCCAAAGAAUUUAUGUUUAUGUGUCAUGGGGCUGGUUGAUUCUUUAUUUGAAAAAGUUCCAAGAAAGUUUUCAAAAGGACGAUGCUCGCCGUAUGAGAGUGAUGUUGUGUUUGUUGUUGUCCUUAUGCUAAUUUUCUUCUUAGGUUUUGUAGACCGAGUGCUUGUUGAAGUUAUGUAUACAAAUGUACUUUAAUGAGUAUGAUCAACCGAAAAACAAAGUCGGAGAUUAGAAACUCAAGGCAUAGAAGAGACAAAGACGAGAAUGGUCGAUGAUCUAAACCGUCGAGGUCGCACCACCGUUCACGAUCUAGAGAUAGAGAGGGAUAUAUGCAUACAAGUAUACGGGAGAAAAGGAGACAAGAGAGUUGAUAGAGAUCGCAAGAAGGGUAGACAUAUAGAAAAAUAAACUACUUGGUUUUUUCUUUUUGCACUGCAGAAUUAGGUAAAUAGCUCAUCCUCUUCCUCCAUUUCUUUCCUUCCCGAUUCAUUUUAACAAAAUUCCAUGAAAUGCAGAGAUUUCACUUUAUACACAAAUGCUGCUAUACCCUCUUCACAUUGUCUCUAUUAAUCAAUUGUUCAGUUACAUGGGGUUGAGUGGAUCAUCAAGGAUUAUCAGAUGUUUGAUGAAUUUCUUUGGAAGGAAAUGACCUGACUCCUGAUUUGUUUUGUAUUUUAUAUGGUUUUCGGGUUUAUAAGGAUGAACUGAGGAAAAAGCUCAACCCUCUAUUCAAUGAGCUUAAAACAUCAUGAGCCUAUUUUUUGCACUGUUGUUAAUAUGUCAUUCAACUUUGUGUCCCAUCAGCCAUGUUCUUCAAUGAAAUUGUAUCUGGUUCAGUUCUGACAAUGCAAAAUUGUUUUCAGACUGA